rnacentral:lncRNA from 1 species
AGGGGCAGUGAUUGUGGUUUCCUGUUGUAGGCAUAUGCUGUUCCAGAAUGAACAAUAUCUCAUGUGUUAGGUGGAGAAAGAAAGAUCCGUACUGCUGGGCACGUAAUCUCAACAUAACUUUUUUUCAGACAGUGCAGGACAUAUAAAAUGUAUUAUAUUGCAUGGGAAACGAGACACAACCAUGCCCUCCCUUUAGAGAAUGCCCGAAUUAUAUCC